CCUACGGGAGGCAGCAGUGGGGAAUAUUGCACAAUGGGGGAAACCCUGAUGCAGCAACGCCGCGUGAAGGAAGACGGUUUUCGGAUUGUAAACUUCUGUUCUUAGUGAAGAAGAAUGACGGUAGCUAAGGAGCAAGCCACGGCUAACUACGUGCCAGCAGCCGCGGUAAUACGUAGGGGGCAAGCGUUAUCCGGAUUUACUGGGUGUAAAGGGAGCGUAGACGGAAAGGCAAGUCAGAAGUGAAAACCCACGGCUCAACCAUGGGACUGCUUUUGAAACUGUCAAACUAGAGUA
rnacentral:rRNA from 1 species